AAGUCGAUGAAGAAGAGGCAGAAAGGAUGAUUAAAGUGGCUCUCUUGUGCACAAAUGCAUCCCAAUCACUUAGGCCUACCAUGUCUGAAGUGGUAAGCAUGCUUGAAGCCCGAAUGCCUAUUCCUGAUAUGAUCCCAGGACCAAGUACCUACACUGAAGAUUUGAGGUUUAAGGCAAUGAGAGACUUUCGUCAAGACUAGAGAAACCAGAGUCUAUGAGUGAAGGUCGUCAAUCCCUAAAUUUAACAGGUCAUACAGCGCUAGAGCUUUGCUCUACCUCUACAUCUGGCCCUGAUUUCUUUGAAAUCAACCCACAUUCGGAAUCCUGUUAAUAAUGAAGUGUUUUUCUUUUAAAGAAUGCUGAUCCUACUCCUGAAGGCUCUGAAUGGAUUUGCUGAUCUGCAUCUCCAUCUCAAUGAGCAUCCUAAAGUUUUGGCUAUUUAAUCAAACUUCUAUUCAAUGGGGCUACACCCGCAUCUUGUACAUCAAUUUUUUAUUUAUUUUUAUUUGAUCUGUAGUUCUCUUUAAAAGUGAGAGUUUGUUGUAUAAAAUUUCAAGAAAUUUUGUAGUAGAAUUAGAUUUUCAUAUUUUAAUAAAUGUGCUCCUGGCAAAAGAUUAAGGGAGAAUUGGGCUUUAGACCCAUUUGACUUUGAUAAUUAAUAAAGAGUCUUUCAAACACCCAUAAUUGAUUAUAAGGAUAUGAGAUGGGAAUAGACCAAAAUGUUCAUUUGACUUAUUUUUGUCUUUAUUUUACCACCCUUCACAUGUCACUAUUCUUUGUUAUUUAACCAUUUUUUGAUUUUUCAUUAUUUUUUUAAACUCUUUUAUAAAUAAUUGAAAAAUCAACAUUGUUUUUUUUAUUUUUAAAUUAUAAAUAAAAAAAAUUAUAUUAAUGAUUCAAAGACUAUUUUGGAAAAUACUUUCUAAAAAAAUAUUAAUUUAAAUAAAUAAAAAUUAUAUUUUAUAUUUAUUUUUUAUCUUUUAUAUUUUAGAAGUAAAUAAUUUAAUGAUUAAAAUACUAUUUAAAAUAAAUAUAUUCACUGUUUUAAUUUUGUUUAUAUUAAAAAGUAUUUUAAAGUUUUUUUUACUAUUAUAAAAUAAAAGGUUUAAUUUUUUUUAAUCUUUUUUUUCCUUAUUUUAAUAACUUUUUGAACAUGACUUUUAGUAAUAAGUUAUAUAAAAUGUUACAAAUUUGUUUAUUAUGAAUUUUUUUAAUGAUUUGAAUUAAUUAAAAAUUUAUUAAAAAAAAAAAAAAGAGGAUGGAUGGAAUGUUUUUAUUUUAAGUACUCAAUUAAAAUGUUUUCAUAUGACCUAACUUUAGAAGUAAAUUAUAUUAGAGAUUGAAUUUUUUUAUAUAAAAGGAUUGAAAGGUAUAUUUAUUUAUUUUAGAUGAAAACAAAUAGUUAAAAAUUAUAUAGAUUAUAUUUGAGUUUGGUUUUAAAAUAUUUUUCUAGUUUUUAUUUUUUAUUUUUAAAAAUAAUUUUUAUUUUCUAUAUAGUCUUUUUUUUUAAAAUAUUUUUAAUUAAAAAAUGAAAACUAUUUUUUAAAAUGAAAAUUGAAAACCUUGUUUAGUACUAUUUUUUAUAUGAAAAUAAAAAAAUAAUAAAUUUUAUUUAUUCAUUUAUCGCAUCAUUGUACAAUUGUAUUACACUAACUGUACAAGGGAAAUAUACUAAGUGUACAAAUGAGUACAAAGCUACCCUUUGUGAAAUAUAUAAUCGAUUAUAAGUUAUUCCUUUUUUUUUUUUUUAUCACUCAUGAAUUGUACACAUAUGUCAUUCACUUUAUUUAAUUCCUGCAUAGAAAUUCCAAUAUUUUUCCUAAUAAUAAUAUUUGGAGAAAAUUUUUUUUGACCUUAAAUCAUCUACCAUCUUCUCAACUAAAUUAUUGGAAAUAUGAUUAAACACUCCUACGUGAACACCUAACUUAGGAGGGAUAUAAAAUUUGUGUCAUUAUACAAGAGUAUUACACUAACUGUACAAGGGAAAUGCAUUAAUUAUACAAAGGUGUAUAAAAUUACCCUUUGUAAAUGAUUUUAAUUGAUUAUAAACUACUUUUUUAUUUUCCUUGUCACCCAAUGAUUGUACACCUAUAUCAUGCACUUUAUUUAACUCUUACAUGAAAAUUCCAAUAUUUUUCCCAAUAAUGAUAUUUGGGGAAAAAAAUUGACCCUAAGUCAUCCAUCAUUUUCUCAACCAAAUCAUUGAAAAUAUGAUUAAUACACCUACAUGGACAUAUAAAUUAGGAGAUAUAUGAAAUUUGUGUCAUUGUUCAAGGGUAUCACACUAACUGUACAAGAAUAUUAUACUAAUUGUACAAGGGAAAUGUGCUAAGUGUACAAAGGUGUACAAGACUUAUAAUAGGUUUUGUAUGAUUUUUAAAUAAUUUGAAUUUGACAUUAAGACGAUUAUUGAUAGUUUUGUUUUUCUUUUUUUUACCAAACUAUGUCAUUAUGACAUUCUCUACAAAAAUUAACAUAUAGGAAAUAAAAUUAAAAUCAAUUAUGUUUGAAUUGUUCAUUAUAAGUAAACUAAAUGAAAUAUAUAUUUUUACUAUUUUACCUUUAUAAAUAUAAUUUCAUUGUUAUCAAUAGAGAUUAAAAAAAUCAUAUUUAAAUGGCAUUAAAAAUAAACAAAAAUUAUUUUUAUAACAUUUUUAUUUUUAAAAAUCAUUAAUUUAAAUUAUGAAAUUAGUUUUAAAGUUAAAAAUAUUUGUUGUAAUUAUAGUUUUGAAGAUUUCAUGAUUUUUAUCUUACUACUUGAAAAACUUGCCUUAAUAAGAAAAUAUUUAUUUUAAUGGUUUUAAAUAUUUAAAUCUUUAUUGAAAAAUAUUUAGGAUUAGUGUGGAGAGCAAUUAGGUAAUUUUGGAAUUGAGAAAUUUUGAAUAUUUUGAAGACCUUAAUUCGGCCAAUUACCUUAUGUACACUUUCAAAAUUAUUGGAAGGUUGGUGAAUUAGUCUUAGAAAUAUUGUUUUCUUAAUUAUAUAUAUGCAUGUAAGUGUUUACAUUAUUUAUGAAAAAAUAAUAAACAAUGUUUAAUUUGCAAGUUAGAAAAGAAAAUUAAUAAUAUUUUAUGAGGUAUUUAAAAAGUAUUUAUUAUAUGUUCUAUAAAUUUGAAAAAAAUAUAAUAUUUGAUGAUAUCUAAUUUACAGAACAAACAAAUAAUGUUAAUAUUUUAUGAGGUGUUUAAAAAUUAUUUAAUAUAUAUGAGAAAUAAUAUAAGUUUGAAAACAAAAAUAAUAUUUAUUAUAUAUUAAGUAAGUUUUCAAUAUAUUUAAAAAAUAUUUAUUAUAUGUUAUGUAAGUUUGAAAAAAAGAAUAAUAUUUGAUGAGACAUUUAAAAGUUAUUCACUUCAAAAAUACAUUUGGUAAUAAUAAUUUUUAAUCAUCUUUUAUAUUUGAUGAAGAAAAAUGAUUCAAGUUGGUUCCACUAUUAAAUAGGUAAGAGAAGGGCAAAAGAGUCAAAGAGAGAAUGAGAAAGGUGAGGUGAUUUGUUAGUUUUUUCAUUUAAUGGUUAAGGGUAUUUUAGGGAUUUUUAAAAGACAAUACCCUUACUCUCAAUUUCUAUUCUUUCAUUGGGUUGGACUUAAAUAUGGAACAUAUAUGGAUCAUAGCUUAAUUUUUGGGCCCAGUUGGGCCCAAAACAUAAUUUUCCCAAAGAUUAAUGUAAAUAUGUAAUGCAGAAACUGGCAAAAGAUCUGGUAGCUGUUUAGUGAAGUAACCCACUUUUCUCAUGCGAAGAAAAUCACAUAUUUAACAGCAUUCUAUGGAGUGAAAUUCCAGCAAACAUAUUCAAUGUCACGAAUUUAACCUCACAAGGGUUGGAGUUCAAUUUUGAUUCAGAUUGAAGUCCAUUCUGGCCUUAUAAGGAUACAUUAUGUAGCCUAUACAAAUUAGAAUCAAAAUCUAAAGAAAUUGCCUUAUCACAUGGGAUCAAGAUUUUUUCUUAAUAAAAAAAGAUGAACCAUUAUUAAUUUUAAGAAAUAGUGUUAGUGAAAUCAACAUAUUAGGAAAGAUAUGUUUGUUUCUUAGAAAGGAAAAAAAAAAAAAAUUAAGACCAUGAAAAAAUGUGAAGAAAAAAAAAAUUUUAAGGAAUAUAAGAGGAAAAAAAAAUUCUUAUCAUUUUCUUUUCUUAUAUUUUUCCUUUCUAUUUACUUUACUUCAAAUUUUCCAACCGAACAUUCUUAAAUUACCUUCACGAAAUUUUACAAUUUUAAAAGGAAUUUUUUUUUUUUUAAAAAAAAGAAUUUCUAUUUUAAAAAUAAAAAAUAAAAAGUGUAUCCCUAUCUAUGAACCUUAAACAAAUGAAUCAUAGGAAAGAUAUUACUUCUGAGUAGUGAGAUUUUUGUGAAAUGGAAGCUACAUGCAGUACUAGAAAUGGACAUCUGAGGGUGCGCAUCUUGAAGAGUUAAGGCCCAAGCGGGUUCCUCAGAGGCUUUGGAUCACAACCCCAUAUCCACUGGGCCCAAGCCCCAUUACAUAUUCUGACUAGGCAUGGUUCAAGGGUCAAACACAACCUGUAUAUUUAUAAGAUCACUAUCAUUUAGACUAGAAUACAUGCAAGGAAAGAUAGAAAAUGAUCGAGAUUGAGAUUUCCUAAGAUUGGAGAGAUUUCUUAAGAUUAUUAAGAAUUUCAUAUGGUAGAAUUUCAACAAUGCCCCUAACAAAAAAUGCAAAUAUAUUUCGCAUAUCAAACUAGUCCAAAAAUUGAUGGAAUACUAAGGACCUGUUUUCAAAAACUAUUUUUUGUUCUUGUAAACAAAAAAUACAAAAAAACUUAUUUUGGGAAAGGAGUGUGUUUUUGUUUUUUAUGUUUUCUGUGUUCUCAAAAACCACUUUUUUUUAUAACAAUAAAAAAAUGUUUUCAUUAUUUUUUUGCUAUUCAAAUAAUAGAUUGUUUUUCAUAUUUUUUCUUCUUUAUUUUUGUGUUUUCUUAUCUGUUUUUUAUGUUUCCACAAAGGUGAGUUUUAUCCAACCACCACACCCUUACUUGCAAACCUUUUUUUCUUCUUUAAAUUAUUGAAAUUAAUAUACUUACACAUGGUGACAAAGUCAUCAUUUUUUUAAGAAAAUUAUAACUAAUGUAAAAAUUUGAAAAUUGAAUAAUUUAAAUGAAUUGUGUAUAUGAAAAUUAUUUAUAUAUUUAUAAUAUCAAGUUAAUGGAAGAAAACACUUUAUUAAUUAAAAAAAUAACUUUCAAACAUAUUUUUUGUUUUACUUAUUCUAAAAAACCUUUUUAUUAACCCAACCAAACAUGUUUUUUUUUAGAACAAAAACUGUUUUCCAGAAUUCAGUUCCCAAACAUAAAUUUUUAUUUUUUAAAAAAAAACACAAAAAACUGCUCUUUAAAAUUGUUCUCAAAAAUGAUUUUCUAUAACAGUUUUCAAAAACAACAUCUAAAUAUACCCUAAGCUUGUCCAAAAAAUGCAAAUAUAUAUUUUUUUUUUAUAGAUAAAAUGAAUAUUAAAAAUCUUCUUAGUCAUGUGCAUUGUGGGUAGAAUUUGGUGUCAGCAACGUAUUUGGUUUUGAGAACAAUUAAGGAACAAGAGGAAAAGAAAAUAGGAAGAAAAUGUAAAACAGAAAAAAAAAAUUAAAUUCAAUAAUUUUUUUAUAUAAUACUUCAAACUUAUUUAAGUUGUUUUAAAUUUUUAUAUAAAAAUUGAAUAAUUCUUAUAAUAAUUUUUAUUUAACUUAUUUAACAUAGGUUUCUUAGUGAUUUUAAUAAUAUUUGAUUUUUUUUUUAUAUUUUUCAUUAAAAAAUCAUUUUAUUUAUUUCCUUUCCUUCAAAUUUGAUAAGAAACAAGUUAAUGUAUAUUAUUAUUUAUAGAAAGACAAAAAAUUAGAAAAUACAUCAUCAUGAUGUCCUCCUUCUAGAUCUUUCUAGAUCCAAACAAACAGAAAAGUUAUCCAUAAGAAAGAAAUCAAAUCUUCAUCUAGUUAUCCUGAAUUUUCGGUCAAAGUCCUGAAGGAAGAAAUCAAAUCAUCAUCAUCUAGUUUUGGGAUUGUGGCUUUGGAAAUUGUUAGUGGAAAACACAACAACAAUUAUAUACCCAGCAAUGACUGCCUUUGUCUUUUAGAUUGGGUACUCACUAACUUUCUAUAUAUCGGUGUUAAUAAUCAAUCAGGUUGUGUUUUUCAGUUGAAAGGAUAUAAUGAGCAUCUGCAUGAUGGAAGUUAAGAUUGGUGAUAUGUUUAAAUUGCAGGCCUGUCUGUUGCAGCAAGGCAGAAAGUUUCUGGAGCUGGUUGAUGAGAAGUUGGGGUCUAANNNNNNNNNNNNNNNNNNNNNNNNNNNNNNNNNNNNNNNNNNNNNNNNNNNNNNNNNNNNNNNNNNNNNNNNNNNNNNNNNNNNNNNNNNNNNNNNNNNNCAGAAAGUUUCUGGAGCUGUUGAUGAGAAGUUGGGGUCUAACGUCAAUGAAGAAGAGGCAGAAAGGGUGAUAAAGUGGCUCUCUUGUGCACAAAUGCAUCCCAAUCACUUAGGCCUACCAUGUCUGAAGUGUUAAGCAUGCUUGAAGCCCGAAUGCCUAUUCCUGAUAUGAUCCCAGGACCAAGUACCUACACCGAAGAUUUGAGGUUUAAGGCAAUGAGAGACUUUCGUCAAGACUAGAGAAACCAGAGUCUGAGUGAAGGUCGUCAAUCCCUAAAUUUAACAGGUCAUACAGAGCUAGAGCCUUAUAAGGA
rnacentral:lncRNA from 1 species